rnacentral:lncRNA from 1 species
GUCUGGCUCCUCUCCUCCUUCGCCAGGCUCUCAGUCCAGCUCCGUCCCCCUCUCCUCCUCCCACCAUCGGCGCCUCCUCUCGCUGCAGAACAAACCGGGACGGGAUUUCUCCCCCCCCCCCCAAAAUGUGAACCUUGCAAAGGCUCGGGUGGACUUUUGUGUGUGUCUUUUUCUUUUUUUUUUUCAAGCAGUUCCUCUCGCUCUUUCGCGGGAAAGGGCGAAACAGUCGAGACAUCCAGCACAAGGCAUCGCUCCCCUCCUCUUUCGCACCAAGCGGGCGAUAACAAAGGCCCCAGAGGUGUCUGCGGUCCCCCAUCUGUCCCCCCCCUCUCGUCUCUCUUUUCGGGACAAAACAAAAGAAAGGAAAAAGGUAGCGUUUCGCCGCCGCCAGUCUCUGGAGAAGCAGGGCCGGGCUUGUCCCUCGCAGGGGGUGUGCGCCCAUCAGCAGCAGUGUCCCCGGCCCCUGCCCGGCCAAAAAAGCCCCCCGAGAGCCCCGACGGGGCGGGCGAGUCCUCCCGGCACCGCGUCUGCGCCUUCUCCAGCUCGGGCCGGCCGCGGAGCUCAGUAGGUGAAGACCAGGUUGGAGAUGCUGGACUCCAGCCAGUCCCCCGAGAUCAUCUCACUUACCUCCGGCGUGCAGUAGUCCGGGAACUCGAAGUGCGAGCCCGAGCCGGGCUCGAAGUUAAAAUCCAGGUCCCGGUCGAGCACGGAGGAGCCGAAGCUGCCCAGGGACAUGCUCUCGAAGCUGGGGCUCGGGUUGAGGUCCAAGAGGUCGUCCUCGAACUCGUCGUCCGACGAAGAGGAGCCGGAGGAGGAGGAAGAGGACGAGGAGGAGGAGGACGAGUGGGAGGACGCGGAGGAGGACCGCGCCGUCGAGGGGGCCGGCGACGAGGCCCGCAGGCUGGUGUAGCUGCGGUGGUCGGCGGGCGAGCCCGAGCCCGACCCCGACCCCGGAGGCGAGGGGCAGGGGGCGCCGCAGUCGCCGUCGGGCCGGCCCGCGCCGCCGCCCCCCUCCUCGUAGAGGCUCAGCGGGUCCCCGGGCUCCGCCGAGCCGCCCAGCGUGGGGCUGCCGGGCACGGCGCCGCCGGGGGAGCCCGAGGAGGAGGAGGA